CCUACGGGAGGCAGCAGUGGGGAAUAUUGCUCAAUGGGCGAAACCCUGAUGCAGCGACGCCGCGUGAGGGAAGAAGUAUUUCGGUAUGUAAAACUCUAUCAGCAGGGAAGAAAAUGACGGUACCUGAUUCAGAAGCCCCGGCAAACUACGUGCCAGCAGCCGCGGUAAUACGUCGGGGGCAAGCGUUAUCCGGAUUUACUGGGUGUAAAGCGAGCGUAGACGGCAGGACAAGUCUGGAGGGAAAUGCCUGGGCUUAACCCCGGAACUGCUUUGGAAACUGUGCAGCUGGAGUGCAGGAGAGGUAAGUGGAAUUCGGAGGGUAGCGGUGAAAUGCGUAGAUAUUAGGAGGAACACCGGUGGCGAAGGCGGCUUACUGGACUGUAACUGACGUUGAGGCUCGAAAGCGUGGGGAGCAAACAGGAUUAGAUACCCUAGUAGUC
rnacentral:rRNA from 1 species